GACAGCAUAGCAUAGUGGUCUGAGUGUUGGACUAUGACUCUAGAGACCAGAGUUUGAUUCCCAGCUUGGCCA